rnacentral:rRNA from 1 species
UACGUAGGGGGCUAGCGUUGUCCGGAAUCAUUGGGCGUAAAGCGCGCGUAGGCGGCCAGAUAAGUCUGGUGUGAAAGUCACAGGCUCAACCUGUGAAUGCCGCUGGAAACUGUCUGGCUAGAGUCCGGAAGGGGCGAGUGGAAUUCCUGGUGUAGCGGUGAAAUGCGCAGAUAUCAGGAGGAACACCAAUGGCGAAGGCAGCUCGCUGGAACGGUACUGACGCUGAGGCGCGAAAGCGUGGGGAGCGAACAGG